rnacentral:tRNA from 2 species
GCCUAAAUGCUGGAAUUUGGUAGACAGAACAAACUUAAGAUUUGUCGCUUUCGAGCGUGUUGGUUCGAGUCCAACUUUAGGUA